GUGUCAGCAGCCGCGGUAAUACGUAGGGGGCAAGCGUUAUCCGGAUUUAUUGGGCGUAAAGCGCGCGUAGGCGGUUUGUUAAGUCAGAUGUGAAAACCGGAGGCUCAACCUGCGGCCUGCAUCUGAAACUGGCAGACUUGAGUCUGGUAGAGGGAAAUGGAAUUCCCAGUGUAGCGGUGAAAUGCGCAGAUAUUGGGAGGAACACCAGUGGCGAAGGCGGUUUCCUGGGCCACGACUGACGCUGAGGCGCGAAAGCUAGGGGAGCGAACAGGAUUAGAUACCCUGGUAGUCCUAGCCGUAAACGAUGGGCACUAGGUGUGGGGGGUCAUCAACUCCCUCCGUGCCGCAGCUAACGCAUUAAGUGCCCCGCCUGGGGAGUACGGCCGCAAGGCUAAA
rnacentral:rRNA from 1 species